rnacentral:rRNA from 1 species
UAUACGACCGUACCGCAAACCGACACUGGUGCGCGAGAUGAGUAUUCUAAGGCGCUUGAGAGAACUCAGGAGAAGGAACUCGGCAAAUUGACACCGUAACUUCGGAAGAAGGUGUGCCCUAUUAGUGUGUAGUGAACAACGAAGCAUGAAUGGGUUGCAAAAAAUCGGUGGCUGCGACUGUUUAUUAAAAACACAGCACUCUGCAAGCACGAAAGUGGACGUAUAGGGUGUGACGCCUGCCCGGUGCUGGAAGAUUAAAUGAUGGGGUGCAAGCUCUUGAUUGAAGUCCCAGUAAACGGCGGCCGUAACAAUAACGGUCCUAAGGUAGCGAAAUUCCUUGUCGGGUAAGUUCCGACCUGCACGAAUGGCGUAACGAUGGCCACACUGUCUCCUCCUGAGACUCAGCGAAGUUGAAAUGUUUGUGAUGAUGCAAUCUCCCCGCGGAAAGACGGAAAGACCCCAUGAACCUUUACUGUAGCUUUGUAUUGGACUUUGAACAGAUCUGUGUAGGAUAGGUGGGAGGCUUUGAAGCAGGGUCGCUAGAUCUUGUGGAGCCAACGUUGAAAUACCACCCUGGUGUGUUUGAGGUUCUAACCUAGGUCCAUUAUCUGGAUCGGGGACAGUGCAUGGUAGGCAGUUUGACUGGGGCGGUCUCCUCCCAAAGCGUAACGGAGGAGUUCGAAGGUACGCUAGUUACGGUCGGACAUCGUGACGAUAGUGCAAUGGCAUAAGCGUGCUUAACUGCGAGUCUGACAAGUCGAGCAGAUGCGAAAGCAGGACAUAGUGAUCCGGUGGUUCUGUAUGGAAGGGCCAUCGCUCAACGGAUAAAAGGUACUCUGGGGAUAACAGGCUGAUACCGCCCAAGAGUUCAUAUCGACGGCGGUGUUUGGCACCUCGAUGUCGGCUCAUCUCAUCCUGGGGCUGUAGCCGGUCCCAAGGGUAUGGCUGUUCGCCAUUUAAAGAGGUACGUGAGCUGGGUUUAAAACGUCGUGAGACAGUUUGGUCCCUAUCUUCCGUGGGCGCUGCAGAUUUGAGGAAGCCUGCUCCUAGUACGAGAGGACCGGAGUGGACACACCUCUGGUGUAUCGGUUGUCACGCCAGUGGCAUUGCCGAGUAGCUAAGUGUGGAAGAGAUAACCGCUGAAAGCAUCUAAGCGGGAAACUCGUUUCAAGAUGAGAUCUGCCGGGGCCUUGAGCCCCCUAAAGAGUCGUUCAAGACCAGGACGUUGAUAGGUCAGGUGUGGAAGUGAA